GAUUGAACGCUGGCGGCAGGCCUAACACAUGCAAGUCGAACGGUAACAGGAAGCAGCUUGCUGCUUYGCUGACGAGUGGCGGACGGGUGAGUAAUGUCUGGGAAACUGCCYGAUGGAGGGGGAUAACUACUGGAAACGGUGGCUAAUACCGCAUAACGUCGCAAGACCAAAGAGGGGGACCUUCGGGCCUCUUGCCAUCAGAUGUGCCCAGAUGGGAUUAGCUUGUUGGUGAGGUAACGGCUCACCAAGGCGACGAUCCCUAGCUGGUCUGAGAGGAUGACCAGCCACACUGGAACUGAGACACGGUCCAGACUCCUACGGGAGGCAGCAGUGGGGAAUAUUGCACAAUGGGCGCAAGCCUGAUGCAGCCAUGCCGCGUGUAUGAAGAAGGCCUUCGGGUUGUAAAGUACUUUCAGCGGGGAGGAAGGUGUUGUGGUUAAUAACCGCAGCAAUUGACGUUACCCGCAGAAGAAGCACCGGCUAACUCC
rnacentral:rRNA from 1 species